rnacentral:rRNA from 1 species
UACGUAGGCAGCGAGCGUUGUUCGGAGUUACUGGGCGUAAAGAGUGCGUAGGCGGUUUUCUAAGUCUGAUGUGAAAGCCCACGGCUCAACCGUGGAGGGUCAUUGGAAACUGGGGAACUUGAGUACAGAAGAGGAAAGCGGAAUUCCACGUGUAGCGGUGAAAUGCGUAGAGAUGUGGAGGAACACCAGUGGCGAAGGCGGCUUUCUGGUCUGUAACUGACGCUGAGGCGCGAAAGCGUGGGGAGCAAACAGG